GACGAACGCUGGCGGCGUGCUUAACACAUGCAAGUCGAACGGUGAAGCGCCUUCCUUUUUGGUGGGUGUGGAUGAGUGGCGAACGGGUGAGUAACACGUGAGUAACCUGCCCCCUUCUUCGGGAUAACCGCAUGAAAGUGUGGCUAAUACGGGAUAUUCUGGGUCGGGCGCAUGAUGGGUCUGGGAAAGCUCUUGUUUCGGUGGGGGGUGGGCUUCCGGCGUAUCAGCUUGUUGGUGGGGAGAUGGCCUACCAAGGCGGUGGCGGGUAGCCGGCCUGAGAGGGUUGACGGGCCCACAGCGAAUGAGACACGGCCAAAACUCAUACGGGAGCCAGCAGCGGGGACUAGUGCACAUUCGGCGAAAGCCUGAUGCAUCGCCGCGCCUUGAGGGAUGUUCGCCUUCGGGUUGUGCACCUAUUUCGCCCGUGAAGCAUGCCUGCCUCGUGUGUUGGUGGGUUGACGGUAGCUGGAGAAGAAGCGACGGCUAACUACGUG
rnacentral:rRNA from 1 species